AGCAGCAUGGCGCAGUGGUAGCGCGCGGGGCCCAUAUAUGUAUAGAAUAUACCAUAUACCCCGAGGUCACUUGAUCGAAACAAGUUGCUGCUA